CAAUAGCGUAUAUUAAAGUUGUUGCGGUUAAAAGCUCGUAGUUGGAUUUCUGCCGAGGACGACCGGUCCGCCCUCUGGGUGAGUAUCUGGCUCGGCCUGGGCAUCUUCUUGGAGAACGUAGCUGCACUUGACUGUGUGGUGCGGUAUCCAGGACUUUUACUUUGAGGAAAUUAGAGUGUUUCAAGCAGGCACACGCCUUGAAUACAUUAGCAUGGAAUAAUAAGAUAGGACCUCGGUUCUAUUUUGUUGGUUUCUAGAACAUACGCAAUGAUUAAUAGGGAUAAUUGGGGGCACUCGUAUUAACACGUCAGAGGUGGAAUUCUUAGAUUGUGUUACGACGAACUACUGCGAAAGCAUUUGCCAAGGAUGUUUUCAUUGAUCAAGAACGAAAGUAUGGGGAUCGAAGACGAUUAGAUACCAU
rnacentral:rRNA from 1 species